rnacentral:rRNA from 1 species
AGAGAUGGAUUGGUGGCCUUCGGGAACUCUGACACAGGUGCUGCAUGGCUGUCGUCAGCUCGUGUCGUGAGAUGUUGGGUUAAGUCCGUAACGAGCGCAACCCUUGUCCUUAGUUACCAGCACGUUAUGGUGGGCACUCUAAGGAGACUGCCGGUGACAAACCGGAGGAAGUGGGGGAUGACGUCAAGUCAUCAUGGCCCUUACGGCCUGGGCUACACACGUGCUACAAUGGUCGGUACAAAGGGUUGCCAAGCCGCGAGGUGGAGCUAAUCCCAUAAAACCGAUCGUAGUCCGGAUCGCAGUCUGCAACUCGACUGCGUGAAGUCGGAAUCGCUAGUAAUCGUGAAUCAGAAUGUCACGGUGAAUACGUUCCCGGGCCUU